GAGUUUGAUCGUGGCUCAGGAUAAACGCUGGCGGCGCACAUAAGACAUGCAAGUCGAACGAACUUAAUUUUAAUAUUUAUAUUAAAAGCGGUUAGUGGCGGACUGGUGAGUAACGCGUAAGCAAUCUGCCUAUCAGAGGGGAAUACAGUGAGAAAUCAUUGCUAAUACCGCAUAUGCCAUAAGAAUCACAUGAUUCUAGUGGGAAAAGAGCAAUCCACUGAUAGAUGAGCUUGCGUCUGAUUAGCUAGUUGGUGGGAUAACGGCCUACCAAGGCGACGAUCAGUAGCCGGACUGAGAGGUUGAACGGCCACAUUGGGACUGAGAUACGGCCCAGACUCCUACGGGAGGCAGCAGUCGGGAAUAUUGCGCAAUGGAGGAAACUCUGACGCAGUGACGCCGCGUAUAGGAAGAAGGUUUUCGGAUUGUAAACUAUUGUCGUUAGGGAAGAUAAAAGACAGUACCUAAGGAGGAAGCUCCGGCUAACUACGUGCCAGCCGCCGCAGUAAGA
rnacentral:rRNA from 1 species